AUACAUGCAAGUCGAGCGAAUCGACGGGAGCUUGCUCCCUGAGAUUAGCGGCGGACGGGUGAGUAACACGUGGGCAACCUGCCUAUAAGACUGGGAUAACUUCGGGAAACCGGAGCUAAUACCGGAUACGUUCUUUUCUCGCAUGAGAGAAGAUGGAAAGACGGUUUACGCUGUCACUUAUAGAUGGGCCCGCGGCGCAUUAGCUAGUUGGUGAGGUAAUGGCUCACCAAGGCGACGAUGCGUAGCCGACCUGAGAGGGUGAUCGGCCACACUGGGACUGAGACACGGCCCAGACUCCUACGGGAGGCAGCAGUAGGGAAUCUUCCGCAAUGGACGAAAGUCUGACGGAGCAACGCCGCGUGAACGAAGAAGGCCUUCGGGUCGUAAAGUUCUGUUGUUAGGGAAGAACAAGUACCAGAGUAACUGCUGGUACCUUGACGGUACCUAACCAGAAAGCCACGGCUAACUACGUGCCAGCAGCCGCGGUAAUACGUAGGUGGCAAGCGUUGUCCGGAAUUAUUGGGCGUAAAGCGCGCGCAAGUGGUUCCUUAAGUCUGAUGUGAAAGCCCACGGCUCAACCGUGGAGGGUCAUUGGAACUGGGGAACUUGAUGC
rnacentral:rRNA from 1 species